rfam:Minicystis rosea strain DSM 24000, complete genome.
GCGCUUGUCGUUCAAUGGUAGGACGACGGUUUCGAGAACCGUAGGCUGCGGGUUCAAUUCCCGCCGAGCA